rnacentral:rRNA from 1 species
UACGUAGGGGGCAAGCGUUGUCCGGAUUUAUUGGGCGUAAAGAGCGUGUAGGCGGUUUGGUAGGUCCGUUGUGAAAACUCGAGGCUCAACCUCGAGACGCCGAUGGAAACCAUCAGACUAGAGUCCGGAAGAGGAGAGUGGAAUUCCUGGUGUAGCGGUGAAAUGCGCAGAUAUCAGGAAGAACACCCGUGGCUAAGGCGGCUCUCUAGUACGGUACUGACGCUGAGACGCGAAAGCGUGGGAGCGACAGGAUAGAU